rnacentral:rRNA from 1 species
CGCAAGCCUGACCGAGCGACGCGCGUGGAGGACGAAGGCCUUCGGGUUGUAAACUCCUGGUCGAGGGGGAGGAAGGCGGCGCGAAGAGCGUCGCUUGACCGAUCCCUGGAGGAAGCACGGGCUAAGUUCGUGCCAGCAGCCGCGGUAAGACGAACCGUGCGAACGUUAUUCGGAAUCACUGGGCUUAAAGCGCGUGUAGGCGGCCUGGAGCGUCAGUGGCUGAAAUCCCCCGGCUCAACCGGGGAACGGGCCCUGAAACGUCCAGGCUGGAGGGGGGUAGGGGGAGCCGGAACUCACGGUGGAGCGGUGAAAUGCGUUGAGAUCGUGAGGAACGCCCGUGGCGAAAGCGGGCUCCUGGACCCCACCUGACGCUGAGACGCGAAAGCUAGGGGAGCGAACGGGAUUAGAUACCCCGGUAGUCCUAGCCGUAAACCAUGAGCACUGGGUAGGGGGCUCGCCGAUGGGCUCCCUGCCGCAGCGAAAGCGUGAAGUGCUCCGCCUGGGGAGUAUGGUCGCAAGGCUG